CUCCUCCACCAUCUUUCUGGUGGUGGCCUCCCAUUGACUACAUUUUUUAAAGGAAAAACCGUGCUUUUUUCCAUACUCUCCUCACAGAGACCCACCAACUGUUUGCUGUUUCCUUACACUUCACAACUGUUUUGUGUGUAAGCCCUUUGGAAUGUGCUGGAGUUACUGCCUGCCAUGUGGCUAUUCCAACUGUUUCUGUUACUUUAUUUCAGAUCUCAUAUACAGUUGUUCCUUGAACAGCUAGGAGGUUGGGGGAUCAACUCCCCCCAGCUAGGUCAAAAAUCCAUCUACGACUUUUGACUCUCCAAAAACUUAACUGCUAAUAGCUUACUGUUGACUGGAAGCCUUACUGAUAACACAACCAGUUGGCUAACACAUAUUUUGUAUGUAUACUGUACCCCUACAAGAAAGUAAGCUAGAGAAAAGAAAAUCAUAAGAGAAAAUACAUUUAUGAUAUUGUAUUGUAAAGCAUAAAUCUGCUUAUAAAUGGACCUGUGUGGUUCAAACCCAUGUUGCUCAAGGGUUUUGCAGAAAGAGCUCAUUGCAGCUAUGCAUGGCAGCAUCAUCCUGUCUUCUGGAGCCAGUUCCAGUUUCUAUUUCUCUAAGUAGUAUCUGAGUGAUCCCAGAGAAACUCCUGUAUCUAAGACUCAGCAACCUCAGAGAAAGCAAGGAGCUGGUGACUAUGUGGUCAGAGUCCCUUUUUGAGGAAAAGUGGAAGAACACCAUGUUAUACAGUGGGCCACGGAAUCUCUUGGAUUUAUAGCUACAAGUACCUGGGUCCCAGGCCUCCUGACUCUGGUUGGCCUCCUGUGCAAGAGUGGUGCAUUUGGAAAUGGCUCCUGGGGCAUUAGGCUGGUCGCAAAACUCAGGGGGAAGUAAGAAUGGGUAGUUAUGUGGCUUGUUUUGCUUUGCUUUUUGCCUUUGUUUUCUUCUGGCUGCCAGAGCUUUCCUCUCUAUGCCCUUGGGAAAAGGGUUUUCCCAUUAGGACUUCAUCUUGUUUGUGUGGCCCUGACAAAGUGGUUUGGGGUCUAGAAUUGCCUUUCUCAGGGAUCUUCUCCAAACCUCCAGCUACAGACCCCACGGAUUCACCUCAUGAGCCCCCUGUGAGGACGUUGGUGACAGAGUACAUUGAUAGACAUACUUCCUUUCAAAGAGGAGCUGGAUACCUGGGUGUUUCCCAAGGAAUUAUGAAAACCAGUAUAAACAUGACAUUUCUGGCAUUCAUCCUUCAUGCAUCUGUGAACAAGAUGGAGAAACAACAAUGAAUGAUACUUAUGUGGAUCCCCGAAUAAGAGUGUUAAGAAAAAAAAUUCAGCUGAGUAAAAUUUAAAGAUCCAUUGGAUUUAUUCAACAAUCCGUGAAUUGGGCAGCAUCCCAUGCAGCAAAUGGAAAGAAGCUCCUAAGAGCUGUACAAAACAGAAGACUUUUAUAGGCAGAAGGAGGCAGGACAAGGAAAUUACUAGAAAAUAGUGGAUUGUUUAAGACAAGGUCACCUUCCUUUUAAGGGAUGGCAGGGAUCUAUUAGGCAUA
rnacentral:lncRNA from 12 species